AUGGGGGACGGGGNAAAUCUCCUCUCCUACCCCAAAUCUCCCCCUUUUCACCUCAAAAUCUCCUCUUUACCCCCAAACCCCCCUUUCUACCCAAAACUCCCCUUUUGCCCCCAAAAUCUCCAUUUCUACCCCCAAAUCUCCCCCUUUUUUGCCUCAAAUCUCCACUCUCAACCUCAAGAUCUUCCUUUUACCCCGAAAUCCCCCCUUUUUACCCCAAAAUCCCCCCUUUCUGCCCCAAAUCUCCCCCUACCUCAAAAUCUCCCCUUUUCACCCCAAAUCUCCUCUCUUCCUAUCACAUCCCCCCCUUUUCAUCUCAAGAUCUCCCUUUUCUACCUCACAUUCCCUUUUUGCCUCAAAUCUCCACUUUUUACCUCAAAAUCUUUCUCUUUCACUUCGAGAUUCCCAUUUUUCUCGUCAAAACCUCCCCUUUUUACCUCAAAAUCACCCUUUUCCCCCCAAAUCUCCCAUUUUUACCUCAAGAUCUCAUCUUUUUAUGUUAAAACCUCCCCUUUUUUACUUCAAAUUGUCUUUUUACCUCAAAAUCUUCUUUUCUUCUCUAAAACCUCCCUUUUCACCCCAAGAUCCCUCUUUUUACCUCAAAUCCACUCUUUUUACCCCCAAAUCCCCCCUUUUUACCCCAAGAUCCCUCCCUUUAUCUCAAAACCUCCUGUUUUUACCUCAAAUCCUCCCAUUUUCACUUCAAAUUCUUUUUUCACCUUAAAAUCUCCAUUUUCUACCACAAAGUCUCCCCCUUUUACCUCACGAUCUUCUACUUUUACCUCAAGAUUCUCACUUUUCGCCUCAAAUCUCCAUUUUUUACCUCAAAACUUCCCCUUUUUACCUCACGAUCUUCUGCUUUUACCUCAAGAUUCCCGCUUUUCACCUCAAAUCUCCAGCUUUAACCUCAAAACCUCCCCUUUUUGCCUCACAGUCUUCUACUUUUACCUCAAGGUUCUCACUUUUCACCUCAAAUCUCCACUUUUCACCUCACGAUCUUCUGCUUUUACCUCAAGAUUCUCACUUUUCGCCUCAAAUCUCCAUUUUUUACCUCAAAACUUCCCCUUUUUACCUCACGAUCUUCUACUUUUACCUCACGAUCUUCUAUUUUUACCUCACGAUCUCCACUUUCCCCCUCCACUCUCCACUCCUCACCUCCCGAUCCGCCCUUCUCACCUCCCCACCCCCCUCCCCGGCCUCACCUCCCGAUCCCCCCGGCCCUCACCUCCCGAUCCUUCGCCUUGA
rnacentral:lncRNA from 1 species